rnacentral:tRNA from 1 species
GCCAGGAUAGUUUAACUAAACAUUAGGCUGUGACCCUAAAAACAGAGCCCGCUCUUCCUAGCC